rnacentral:lncRNA from 1 species
AUAUGAGAAGGAGUGAAGCGUGAAUAACAUAAAGAUUGAGAAAGAGGGUGAGGUGUACCUGAGGAGACAGAAUGGGACGAGUGCAUGGAUGGUUGAAUUACGCCAGGCAACUUGUAAACAAAAUCCGUAAGAUAUCCAGGUGGGUGUUGUUCGCGUUGAGCACGUGAUGUAGGUGGCAAAGUAAUAGGUUCAUGUUGAGAUUGUUCAUUCACAAUAAAAUGGUCUGUUUGUGAUGUAGAGAAGGGGGUAUCAAUGGUUGAGAGAGAUGAUGCAUCUUUGAAAAAAAUAUUUUGUGGAGUGUCAUCAACUGUUGGUAAAGGAAUGG